rnacentral:misc_RNA from 1 species
GAUGAAGAACGCAGCGAAAUGCGAUAAGUAAUGUGAAUUGCAGAAUUCAGUGAAUCAUCGAAUCUUUGAACGCACCUUGCGCUCCUUGGUAUUCCGAGGAGCAUGCCUGUUUGAGUGUCAUGAAAUUCUCAACCUUUUCAGCUUUCUUUGUUGAUCAGGCUUGGAUGUGGGCGUAUGCGGGCUUCUCAGAAGUCGGCUCUCCUGAAAUGCAUUAGCGGGACCUUUGUUGCCUGGCUUUGGUGUGAUAAUUAUCUACGCCAUUGUAGUCAAGCAGCUUAAAAUGAGGUUUCAGCUUCUAACCGUCUCCCCUGAGACAACUUUUUGACAAUUUGACCUCAAAUCAGGUAGGACUACCCGCUGAACUUAAGCAUAUCAAUAAGCGGAGGA